ensembl:rRNA 5S_rRNA 5S ribosomal RNA
UGCCAGGGCUAUACCACCCUGAACGCACUUGAUCACAUCUGAUCUCGGAAGCUAAGCAGGGUCGGGCCUGUUAGUACUUGGAUGGGGGACCACCUGGGAAUACUGGGCAUUAGGCUUGGUGA